GCAUUAAUGGGGUAGUGGUAACCUGGGUCGUUGCCAUCAUAGAUGAAUAUCAUACGGUCUUCUCGACCCGCCGGGGGUUCGAUUCCCUCUUAAUGCA